GUUAAGCGACUAAGCGUACACGGUGGAUGCCCUGGCAGUCAGAGGCGAUGAAGGACGUGCUAAUCUGCGAUAAGCGUCGGUAAGGUGAUAUGAACCGUUAUAACCGGCGAUUUCCGAAUGGGGAAACCCAGUGUGUUUCGACACACUAUCAUUAACUGAAUCCAUAGGUUAAUGAGGCGAACCGGGGGAACUGAAACAUCUAAGUACCCCGAGGAAAAGAAAUCAACCGAGAUUCCCCCAGUAGCGGCGAGCGAACGGGGAGCAGCCCAGAGCCUGAAUCAGUGUGUGUGUUAGUGGAAGCGUCUGGAAAGGCGCGCGAUACAGGGUGACAGCCCCGUACACAAAAAUGCACAUAUUGUGAGCUCGAUGAGUAGGGCGGGACACGUGGUAUCCUGUCUGAAUAUGGGGGGACCAUCCUCCAAGGCUAAAUACUCCUGACUGACCGAUAGUGAACCAGUACCGUGAGGGAAAGGCGAAAAGAACCCCGGCGAGGGGAGUGAAAAAGAACCUGAAACCGUGUACGUACAAGCAGUGGGAGCCUCUUUUAUGGGGUGACUGCGUACCUUUUGUAUAAUGGGUCAGCGACUUAUAUUCUGUAGCAAGGUUAACCGAAUAGGGGAGCCGAAGGGAAACCGAGUCUUAACUGGGCGUUAAGUUGCAGGGUAUAGACCCGAAACCCGGUGAUCUAGCCAUGGGCAGGUUGAAGGUUGGGUAACACUAACUGGAGGACCGAACCGACUAAUGUUGAAAAAUUAGCGGAUGACUUGUGGCUGGGGGUGAAAGGCCAAUCAAACCGGGAGAUAGCUGGUUCUCCCCGAAAGCUAUUUAGGUAGCGCCUCGUGAAUUCAUCUCCGGGGGUAGAGCACUGUUUCGGCAAGGGGGUCAUCCCGACUUACCAACCCGAUGCAAACUGCGAAUACCGGAGAAUGUUAUCACGGGAGACACACGGCGGGUGCUAACGUCCGUCGUGAAGAGGGAAACAACCCAGACCGCCAGCUAAGGUCCCAAAGUCAUGGUUAAGUGGGAAACGAUGUGGGAAGGCCCAGACAGCCAGGAUGUUGGCUUAGAAGCAGCCAUCAUUUAAAGAAAGCGUAAUAGCUCACUGGUCGAGUCGGCCUGCGCGGAAGAUGUAACGGGGCUAAACCAUGCACCGAAGCUGCGGCAGCGACGCUUAUGCGUUGUUGGGUAGGGGAGCGUUCUGUAAGCCUGUGAAGGUGUGCUGUGAGGCAUGCUGGAGGUAUCAGAAGUGCGAAUGCUGACAUAAGUAACGAUAAAGCGGGUGAAAAGCCCGCUCGCCGGAAGACCAAGGGUUCCUGUCCAACGUUAAUCGGGGCAGGGUGAGUCGACCCCUAAGGCGAGGCCGAAAGGCGUAGUCGAUGGGAAACAGGUUAAUAUUCCUGUACUUGGUGUUACUGCGAAGGGGGGACGGAGAAGGCUAUGUUGGCCGGGCGACGGUUGUCCCGGUUUAAGCGUGUAGGCUGGUUUUCCAGGCAAAUCCGGAAAAUCAAGGCUGAGGCGUGAUGACGAGGCACUACGGUGCUGAAGCAACAAAUGCCCUGCUUCCAGGAAAAGCCUCUAAGCAUCAGGUAACAUCAAAUCGUACCCCAAACCGACACAGGUGGUCAGGUAGAGAAUACCAAGGCGCUUGAGAGAACUCGGGUGAAGGAACUAGGCAAAAUGGUGCCGUAACUUCGGGAGAAGGCACGCUGAUAUGUAGGUGAAGUCCCUCGCGGAUGGAGCUGAAAUCAGUCGAAGAUACCAGCUGGCUGCAACUGUUUAUUAAAAACACAGCACUGUGCAAACACGAAAGUGGACGUAUACGGUGUGACGCCUGCCCGGUGCCGGAAGGUUAAUUGAUGGGGUUAGCGCAAGCGAAGCUCUUGAUCGAAGCCCCGGUAAACGGCGGCCGUAACUAUAACGGUCCUAAGGUAGCGAAAUUCCUUGUCGGGUAAGUUCCGACCUGCACGAAUGGCGUAAUGAUGGCCAGGCUGUCUCCACCCGAGACUCAGUGAAAUUGAACUCGCUGUGAAGAUGCAGUGUACCCGCGGCAAGACGGAAAGACCCCGUGAACCUUUACUAUAGCUUGACACUGAACAUUGAGCCUUGAUGUGUAGGAUAGGUGGGAGGCUUAGAAGUGUGGACGCCAGUCUGCAUGGAGCCGACCUUGAAAUACCACCCUUUAAUGUUUGAUGUUCUAACGUGGACCCGUAAUCCGGGUUGCGGACAGUGUCUGGUGGGUAGUUUGACUGGGGCGGUCUCCUCCUAAAGAGUAACGGAGGAGCACGAAGGUUGGCUAAUCCUGGUCGGACAUCAGGAGGUUAGUGCAAUGGCAUAAGCCAGCUUGACUGCGAGCGUGACGGCGCGAGCAGGUGCGAAAGCAGGUCAUAGUGAUCCGGUGGUUCUGAAUGGAAGGGCCAUCGCUCAACGGAUAAAAGGUACUCCGGGGAUAACAGGCUGAUACCGCCCAAGAGUUCAUAUCGACGGCGGUGUUUGGCACCUCGAUGUCGGCUCAUCACAUCCUGGGGCUGAAGUAGGUCCCAAGGGUAUGGCUGUUCGCCAUUUAAAGUGGUACGCGAGCUGGGUUUAGAACGUCGUGAGACAGUUCGGUCCCUAUCUGCCGUGGGCGCUGGAGAACUGAGGGGGGCUGCUCCUAGUACGAGAGGACCGGAGUGGACGCAUCACUGGUGUUCGGGUUGUCAUGCCAAUGGCACUGCCCGGUAGCUAAAUGCGGAAGAGAUAAGUGCUGAAAGCAUCUAAGCACGAAACUUGCCCCGAGAUGAGUUCUCCCUGACCCUUUAAGGGUCCUGAAGGAACGUUGAAGACGACGACGUUGAUAGGCCGGGUGUGUAAGCGCAGCGAUGCGUUGAGCUAACCGGUACUAAUGAACCGUGAGGCUUAACCUU
rnacentral:rRNA from 1 species